rnacentral:snRNA from 1 species
GACUGAAGUGAGAUCUGGCUGCUGUGACAUCUGUCUCCCCACUGAUCACCAGGGUUGAUCUGGCUGGCUAGGCCAGUGUCUCCUUCCUCCCUCUCAGCACACGUGUGUCCCUCCCACAGCCACAGGCUGGGUCAAAGAAGAUGACCUUGUCCAAAAAGAGGAGAACUGAUGUUCAGUCAAGGGCAGAUGAGUAGCUUUGCUCCCCAGCUAGAACCAUCCAACGAAGCCUUAAGAAGGGAUUUAAGGAACCUAAAGUGAAUCACACAUCAAAAUCCUUAUGGGAAGCAAUGUAAAUUU